rnacentral:rRNA from 1 species
AGUGAACGCUGGCGGCAGGCCUAACACAUGCAAGUCGAGCGGCUGAACAGUGCUUGCUCGUUGUUUCGGCGGGCGAGGGGUGGGUAAGGCCGGGGAAUAUGCCUAUUUGCUGUGUAUAAGGUGCUAACGCAGGCGCAAAUACGGUAAAACUCCUGAGGGAGUAAGGGGGGGAUCAUCGGACCUUACGAUAUCAGAUGAUCCUAGGUCGGAUUAGCUAGUUGGUGGGGUAAAGGCCUACCAAGGCGACGAUCCGUAACUGGUCUGAGAGGAUGAUCAGUCACACUGGAACUGAGACACGGUCCAGACUCCUACGGGAGGCAGCAGUGGGGAAUAUUGGACAAUGGGCGAAAGCCUGAUCCAGCCAUGCCGCGUGGGUGAAGAAGGUCUUCGGAUUGUAAAGCCCUUUUAGUGGGGAAGAAGAGCAGUAAGUUAAUACCUUGCUGUUUUGACGUUACCAGCAGAAUAAGCACCGGCUAACUUCGUG